rnacentral:rRNA from 1 species
CGCGCAGGCGGUCUUCCAAGUCAGUGGUGAAAGCCCGGAGCUCAACUCCGGAACUGCCAUUGAAACUGUAAGACUUGAGGAUGAGAGAGGUGAGUGGAAUUCCCAGUGUAGAGGUGAAAUUCGUAGAUAUUGGGAAGAACACCAGUGGCGAAGGCGGCUCACUGGCUCAUAUCUGACGCUCAGGCGCGACAGCGUGGGGAUCAAACAGGAUUAGAUACCCUGGUAGUCCACGCCGUAAACGAUGAAUGCUAGCCGUUGGGCAGCUUGCUGUUCAGUGGCGCAGCUAACGCAUUAAGCAUUCCGCCUGGGGAGUACGGCCGCAAGGUUGAA